rnacentral:rRNA from 1 species
UAAUGCUUAGGAAUCUGCCUAUUAGUGGGGGACAACGUUCCGAAAGGGACGCUAAUACCGCAUACGUCCUACGGGAGAAAGCAGGGGAUCUUCGGACCUUGCGCUAAUAGAUGAGCCUAAGUCGGAUUAGCUAGUUGGUGGGGUAAAGGCCUACCAAGGCGACGAUCUGUAGCGGGUCUGAGAGGAUGAUCCGCCACACUGGGACUGAGACACGGCCCAGACUCCUACGGGAGGCAGCAGUGGGGAAUAUUGGACAAUGGGGGGAACCCUGAUCCAGCCAUGCCGCGUGUGUGAAGAAGGCCUUUUGGUUGUAAAGCACUUUAAGCGAGGAGGAGGCUUACCUGGUUAAUACCUGGGAUAAGUGGACGUUACUCGCAGAAUAAGCACCGGCUAACUCUGUGCCAGCAGCCGCGGUAAUACAGAGGGUGCAAGCGUUAAUCGGAUUUACUGGGCGUAAAGCGCGCGUAGGUGGCUAAUUAAGUCAAAUGUGAAAUCCCCGAGCUUAACUUGGGAAUUGCAUUCGAUACUGGUUAGCUAGAGUAUGGGAGAGGAUGGUAGAAUUCCAGGUGUAGCGGUGAAAUGCGUAGAGAUCUGGAGGAAUACCGAUGGCGAAGGCAGCCAUCUGGCCUAAUACUGACACUGAGGUGCGAAAGCAUGGGG